rnacentral:rRNA from 1 species
UGCUGGGUGAGAUGACGCUUGGUAAGCACUGCCCGGUGCCCGAUGGGGUUAACGGUGGUCUUUUAGGUUUUAAUGUAGCGUAAUACCUCGCCCUUUAAUUGUGGGCUUGCAUGAAGUGUCCACGAGGGGGUUACUGUCUCUUUCUAAUUUAGUGAAAUCGAAUUGCAGGUGCAAUUGCUUGUAUGGGGGUAAAAGACGAUAAGACCCCGUGCAGCUUCAUACUAUUGAUCAAAGAUGGUUGAAAUGUUAUUUGGUUGGGGCAACAGGGGAAUAAGAAAAACUUCCUUGAGUGUGCGUUUCAGGGGAGGGUUGAGACUUGAAGAACUGACAGGUGACGAUCUGGUUUGACAGAUAUGCGGAGAAGCUACGCCGGGGAUAACAGCGCAAUCUUCAAUUGGAGUUCUUAUCUGAUUGUGGGCUUGCGACCUCGAUGUUGAAUCAGCGGGAACCUCAUGGCGAAGAGGCUCUGGGGAAGGACUGUUCGUCCUCUAAGACGCU